GGCUCAGGAUGAACGCUAGCGGCAGGCUUAAUACAUGCGAAGUCGUGGGGCAGCAUGAGUAGCAAUACUUGAUGGCGACCGGCAAACGGGUGAGGAACACGUACACAACCUUCCUUCAAGCGGGGAAUAGCCCAGAGAAAUUUGGAUUAAUACCCCAUAAUAUAUUUGAUAAGGCAUCUUAUUAAUAUUAAAGCUUCGGCACUUGAUGAUGGGUGUGCGGCUGAUUAGAUAGUUGGCGGGGUAACGGCCCACCAAGUCUACGAUCAGUAGCUGAUGUGAGAGCAUGAUCAGCCACACGGGCACUGAGACACGGGCCCGACUCCUACGGGAGGCAGCAGUAAGGAUAUUGGACAAUGGACGAAAGUCUGAUCCAGCCAUGCCGCGUGAAGGAUUAAGGUCCUCUGGAUUGUAAACUUCUUUUAUAUGGGACGAAAAAGGGCAUUCUUGUUCACUUGACGGUACCAUAUGAAUAAGCACCGGCUAACUCCGUG
rnacentral:rRNA from 1 species